rnacentral:misc_RNA from 1 species
UCUCGGCUUAUCACCGGCAGUCCCCUUAGAGUGCCCAACUUAAUGCUAGCAACUAAUGACAAGGGUUGCGCUCGUUGCGGGACUUAACCCAACAUCUCACGGCACGAGCUGACGACAGCCAUGCAGCUCCUAACCACAGGUUCUCCGAAGAGCACCCCGACUUUUCAACCAGGUCCCUGUGUUUUCUAGCCCAGGUAAGGUUCUUCGCGUUGCGUCGAAUUAAACCACAUGCUCCACCGCUUGUGCGGGCCCCCGUCAAUUCCUUUGAGUUUCAGUCUUGCGACCGUACUCCCCAGGCGGCGAACUUAACGCGUUAGCUUCGACACUGAUCUCCGAGUUGAGACCAACAUCCAGUUCGCAUCGUUUAGGGCGUGGACUAC